GAAACAGAACAAACAGAACAAAGUACUGCUAAUCCUUGUUAGGGUAAAAAAAAACCCAGCCUUUUAUGAUCUCACUGCUAGACACUGCUUUCAAGGAAAAUUACAUGUUUUAUAUCUGAUUUUUUCCCAUAUUUUGUGUGACCAGUAUUACAGCCUUCCAGUCUCUGCCUUUUAAAAUUUAAAGAAAGCAAGUUGCAUUUUGCAACAAUCCCAUGAACUCUCAGAAGACAACCAGUCGGUGAAUUUCUUACUAAACCAAGAUGUUUUUCAGAACUAAAAGGAAGUGUGUAUGGUCAUGAGAGCAGGAGCUUUAUGAGUACCUUGCUUUCAUGCUUGCUCAGCAAUGCCUUCUCACAAAUACCUGCCUUCUUCUUAUAAAUACCUGUCUUUCCAAAGACAGUCGGCGAGGGGCACAGUGGCAGGAACGCAAAUUCUUGAACCAGGACUCCAGUAUGGUUAGCACUGAAGAAGGACUGAACAAUAUGCCUUCUCUGGGAUUCUUUUGCUCCUGAAGAAUGACAAAGGAAGGAUUCCUGUAGAACGGAAAAUGAGCCAAGUAUUCGUCAAGUAUCCAACCAUGCUGCAAUGAAGAAUGGGACAAUUUUCUGUCUUCACAGAAGGGGUGGAUUAGGCUGCGUUUAGCCUCUUACCAAAGUUUCUACUACCGGUUCUGCCACAGAGCAUGUACCCAGCCACAGGUAUCCCAAAAUGUAAAUUCAGGUGCAGAAGCAGUAUUCUACAAAAGGAAACAAAAUUCCAGUGCAAUUUUGAAUUAAGCAAAUUAAAGUAGUAAUACUAGUCAAUUAGAACAGUAGUAACUAGAACAUAAGUGAAAACUUAAGAGCAGUUUGGAUACUCAUCCUCCUAGACUUCUUUAAAGUAACUUGCUGAGGAGUUUGCAUGAUGUUCUAAAAGUAAUUAGUCUGGUAAAAAGAAGGGGGAAAAGCCUUUUAGCUUCUUGCCAUGAUUUCUCAGCUUCAUAUUUCAUUAUGGAUAUCCAAGGUACAGUAAAAGAAAAGACAAAGAAAAUGUGAAAAAAAUCAGUCACUAAAAUAAUAUUUAUUUUAAUCACCUUGAUUAGCCUUAGUUGUUAUUAUGUCAAACAAUUUUUACUAUAUCUAUGGAAUAAAACACUUCUAUAGGACAGAUUUUCAAAAUGUGCCUCAACUCAGUGUGUUAUGUGAAGCAAAAUGCAUGCUCCCUCUUUCAUGUUAGCGGUUGAGAGCAAAACUGAUAGAAAUGGCAUUAACAUCAUUCAGCCUAUAUAAAAAUAAAAAGCAGGCACAAACAGCACAGGAGUUCUGGGUUUAAAAGUUACUAUUUGUUAACAUGAAAGGCAGCUGACAGAAGAGCACGUGUGAGUGACUUAGGCAUCUAUGAAUGGAGAUCACACUGGAUCUCCGAAAAUUUGACCUUCAUUAAAUUUGCAAUACUUCUUUCUUAUACUAUCUGAACAGUGUUAUAAUUGCUUCACUGUGACUAGCUAGAGUUAAUGUUAAAUGUGUCUGGUAGUUUAGAUAUUUUUAUCUUUCAGAGCUCUAAAUUCAGGGCAAAGUCAAUGCUGUGGAUCCUUCAGCUGUACUGGAAAUCUCCAGUGAAUAUUCUCCCCUCAUUACACACAGUGAACUUUCAUUAAUAUCAAUAUUGGCUUGGUGCAUAGAAUACACAAUACAGAUUUAUACUGCAGCUCAUGAAACACAGUUUUGCUUCCUGUAUUAAACUUCAGCUCUUUUAUUGAUUCUUUUGCUACCCACCCUCCUCAAGGAUAACACUAAAUUGCUUGCAGACUUCAUUAUAAAUUUAUAAAUCGAGGGCCAAAAAAAAUCAAUGAUGGAGACCUGUAGUGAUUAAUAUGUCACUAACAAACAAAUUUUCCCAAUUUACCCAUGUGUUAUUUGUUCAUUUUGUACGAGAAAUAGAAAAAUAUCUUUAAAAAUAUAAAAGGGAAAUGUAGUCCUUUAUUUCUGAGGAAGACAAUCUACAAAUUUAAAUCAUUAAACUAUAAUUAUACUCUGAACAUUGGAAGGGUUCGCAGUUAAAAAUAUCAGGUUGAGAUUAAGUCAAUAAAAUUAAUCACUCAUGCCCCUCAAAGAGUAAAAGGGUUGAAAAAUGCUACAAAAUUGAAAGCUACCAUGAGCAAAGGGACUUGGGGAAUUCAUUUUAAUUCACCACAGCCAAGUUCAAAUACAAGCUGUUCUUUGUUACUCAACCUGAGGUAUUAUUUUUCAUACAGAGGCUCACAUCUGACCAAGCCAUAAUCACAUACUGUAGAGUUUUCUUUAUCUGAUUGUAGAAGUUUCCUGUUUUAGCUAUAUAUUAACAAUGAACUGCAUAUGGAUGGGGUGGUGUCACAGAGUGGACUAUAUUCUGCUCACCUAACCACAUCUAUCAGUCUAUUAAGUGCCUCAAAGCUGGGACUUGAGCAAUGGGUAGUAAAGUUGGCCUUAAGUCACUACUCUCUCCCCCUUACAUGGGCCUAACAGACAUUUUAUAUUGUGAAUUCUUUGCUUUUCCAGCAGAGCAGACAGAUCUCCUGCAGUUGCCUAAGAGAAGGUUAUGAAUUGCAAUAACCCCUCCUCUCUCAUCUGUGUUUAAUGACUGACUGCACUGUCUAAAAUAGGACUUCUAGACCCCCAAGGUACAUUCUACACAUGACAAACUGCAAACAGCAAAUGCAGCCUUCUCCCCUCCAAGGAUCCACAUGUGCUAUGACGAUGGGCAGAGACUUGUUAGUAGAAAUUAUCUAAGAAAUGAGGUGUGAAUUGAAAGGAUUGAGAAGGAUGCAGAAAAGCUUGUGUAAAGGACACAUGAUCAACCACCUAAGAAGUGAUUCUAAUUCAGAUAGAACGUGCUUGUGCUUUUGGAUCUGAAGUGAGCUGAUCCAUUUGCUCUGAAAAUCAGGAUGUGUCUGUGCACUGUGGGACUGUGCACUACGGGUGAAUUUUAAUUUGGCUGCAGAUAUUUAGGUUCUUCCUCUAGCCCUAAGAAAAUUAAAAACAAUUAAUGAGGUCUCUUUUUGCUUUAGCAUAGCAUAUAAGACACCCGAUUUUACAGUUAUGAAAGUGGGGACAUCUGUAUUUGAAGACUUUGAAGUAAUGGAGAGAAUUGCUUAAUGCAUGAUGUAAAGUAACACUUCCAAGUGAAACCAACCAAAGUUCAAAGAUUUUUUUCAAGGUGUGCUUUGGAAAAAUAUCAACUCAGGAACUAUUUAUGUUACUAGAAAUAGUGAAGUAGGGGGUGCAUGAGAAAGUGUAUAUGCCAUUGCCCAUUCAUAAGCAAAAUCAAAGACCACAACCAGUAUUUGCAGUGAAAAAAUUUCAGUAAGAACAUAAUCUAUGAUAGCACAGCUCCAUAUUAUUGGCCUGACAGGGUUUUCUUUCCAGAAUAUUUGCAAGAAUUAGCUGAAACCUUUGCUUAUUUAUAAGAUUUCCACUGAAGCUAGUUUAAAUAGACAGAUUUUUUAAAAAGAUUUCCAGAAACAUAUAAAGGCCAUCUGCAGGCAAGUUUGUUCCUGAAAAGACAUUUAUGAAUUUACAUCCAACAUAAAUAAAGAGCUGUUAGGCAAUUAAGCUGGAAAACCUGCAUUUUUCAGACAGAAGAUAAACAUUUGUUUCUAGCCAGUUGAUGUACAAGUACCAUGAUUUAAAAUUUGAAAACAUAACUUUCUGUGCACAAUGUUGAGAAUUAAUUUCUUCUUGAAAAACA